UAGCUUUGGAGUCUCAACCAAAACUGAGAGGACAGCCAUUUUGUUCUAACAUCCACCUUAGGAAAAAAGUCUUUUAGAUAGGAAAAGUGUGAUCAUCAAAGGGAGUUGUUUCCAUGAAAGCCUGAGGUGCUAAGAGGCUCUCGGUGUGGAGGGGAAGUGAAUUGUCUGCCUGCCUGCCUGCCUUCCUGUCCGACCUCCCAUUUCAUUGAUUGGCCUGAGUGCUCAGUGCUAUUUCCCCACUGAGGAAACAGUAAUUGUGCUCGCCCGUACUCUCUCUCCACUGCUCAGUCAGACGUGGCAUACCGUCUCGCUAAUUGAAACUGAGCUCCGGGAGACACAGCAAUAAUCUAAUUUAUUGGUUUUGCUUUUCCGGUUGCCUUUCUGAGAAGAUCCAUCACAGGGAGGCAGAAUGGAAGCUGUUGAUGAGAAGGGAACAGAAGUGGGAAUAAGAUUCCAGGCCAGGCUGAGGUGGAUUAAAAAAAGCAUUCCUUUCCCUGACAUCUCUAAAGACUAGUGUAAAGCAGUGUAAAGUUAACACCUAAAUACCCAAGUGCCUGGAGGCUCUGCUAGAGGCACAGCCAUGAAAUAUCAAGCACUUUCUAGAAACGAUCGAUGCUCCUCUCCCUACCCACAGAAAGUGUUUGCUUUGUCUAGAAGUCAUGAUGGCAGCCCUGGAAGGUCCCAACCACCUGCCUGAAACCUAAUUAUGGGAUACCUUAGCAACAAACAGGAUCUCCAAGUUACCAUAGCAACACAUGGGGGUCUUUAGGUUACCUUAGCAAUAAACGGGGAUCUUGGGUUAUCUUAGCAGCAAACAGGGUUUUCAGGUUAACUUAACAACAAAAUGGGGUUUUCAGGUUAACAGCAACAAACAGGAUCUCCAAGUUACUUUAGCAACAAAUGGGGGAGGAGUUGUCUUUAGGUUACCUUAGCAACAAACAGGAUCUCCAGGUUACCUUAGCAACAAAUGGGUGAAGGGUUGUCUUUAGGUUACCUUAGCAACAAACAGAAUCUCCAGGUUACCUUAGCAACAAAUGGGUGAAGGGUUGUCUUUAGGUUACCUUAGCAACAAACAGGAUCUCCAGGUUACCUUAGCAACAAAUGGGUGAAGGGUUGUCUUUAGGUUAUCUUAGCAACAAACAGGGUCUUCAAGUUACCCUUCACCUCUGAGUGGACUAAGCAGAAUAAAUACAGUGAGGGUCUCUCAGCUUGCUUCUUAUUUUAAAAUUUUAUUCAUUUAUGUGUUUUUCUUUAAUUAGAGAGA